GACGAACGCUGGCGGCGUGCUUAACACAUGCAAGUCGAGCGGAAAGGCCCUUCGGGGUACUCGAACGGCGAACGGGUGAGUAACACGUGAGUAAUCUGCCCUUCACUCUGGGAUAGCCACCGGAAACGGUGAUUAAUACCGGAUACGACCAAUCCCUGCAUGGGGUGUUGGUGGAAACUUUUUUGGGUGGGGGAUGUGCUCGCGGCCUAUCGGCUUGUUGGUGGGGUAAUGGCCUACCAAGGCUUCGACGGGUAGCCGGCCUGAGAGGGUGACCGGCCACACUGGGACUGAGACACGGCCCAGACUCCUACGGGAGGCAGCAGUGGGGAAUAUUGGACAAUGGGCGGAAGCCUGAUCCAGCAACGCCGCGUGAGGGAUGACGGCCUUCGGGUUGUAAACCUCUUUCAGCACCGACGAAGCGCAAGUGACGGUAGGUGCAGAAGAAGGACCGGCCAACUACGUGCCAGCCGCCGCCGUAAAAC
rnacentral:rRNA from 1 species